rnacentral:rRNA from 1 species
AGUGAACGCUGGCGGUAAGCCUAACACAUGCAAGUCGAACGGCAGCACAGUAAGAGCUUGCUCUUACGGGUGGCGAGUGGCGGACGGGUGAGGAAUACAUCGGAAUCUACUUUUUCGUGGGGGAUAACGUAGGGAAACUUACGCUAAUACCGCAUACGACCUACGGGUGAAAGCAGGGGAUCUUCGGACCUUGCGCGAUUGAAUGAGCCGAUGUCGGAUUAGCUAGUUGGCGGGGUAAAGGCCCACCAAGGCGACGAUCCGUAGCUGGCCUGAGAGGAUGAUCAGCCACACUGGAACUGAGACACGGUCCAGACUCCUACGGGAGGCAGCAGUGGGGAAUAUUGGACAAUGGGCGCAAGCCUGAUCCAGCCAUACCGCGUGGGUGAAGAAGGCCUUCGGGUUGUAAAGCCCUUUUGUUGGGAAAGAAAAGCAGCAGGUUAAUACCCCGCUGUUCUGACGGUACCCAAAGAAUAAGCACCGGCUAACUUCGUG